UCGAGAAUCAUUCGCAAUGGGCGAAAGCCUGACGAUGCGACGCCGUGUGAGCGAUGAAGGCCUUCGGGUCGUAAAGCUCUUUCGCUUGGGAACAAGAGAAGCUGACUAACAUUCAGCUAAUUUGAGGGUACCAGGUAAAGAAGCACCGGCUAACUCCGUGCCAGCAGCUGCGGUAAUACGGAGGGUGCAAGCAUUAAUCGGAUUUAUUGGGCGUAAAGGGCGCGUAGGCGGGCGUGAAAGUCUUGUGUGAAAUCCUGGGGCUCAACCCCAGAACAGCACGGGAAACUACACAUCUUGAGGGUAGGCGGAGAAAACGGAAUUCCACAAGUAGCGGUGAAAUGCGUAGAUAUGUGGAAGAACACCGGUGGCGAAGGCGGUUUUCUAGCUUACUCCUGACGCUGAGGCGCGAAAGCAAGGGGAUCAAACAGGAUUAGAUACCCCCGUAGUCC
rnacentral:rRNA from 1 species